AUGCACGCCGCCCCCUCAUACGAGGGUAAGAUGCUUUCCGCCUAUCGCACAAAGAUGAGCUUCAUUCAAUUUCGUCUGCAACGGGCUUACAACACAGACUCGCUGGGCUACUUAUCUGAAAUACAUGAUACGGUCCAGGAACACUUCGAUGAAUACUACAAUGCUACAGAGCAGCUGAGUGGCGUCCGUCUUUUAAGGAGUGCAGCUCUGGAUACAGCUGAUAAUGAUCCUUUGGAAGAUUGGGAUGAGCACCUCAAUUGCCAGAUGUCUUCAGAACUUGACGACUACCUUGGGGAGGUUCUAGUCCCAAGAAAAGAUGAUUUUGACAUUCUUAAAUGGUGGAUGGAACACACCACAAAGUACCCCACACUUGCUGCUAUUGCCCGGGACGUCUUAGCGAUGCCGGCAUCUGCUGUUCAAUCUGAAGCAGCAUUCAGUAGCAGCGGGCCAGUAAUUCCAAAGCACCAGAGCACACUGAGUAUCGAGACGAUUGAAGCACUUUUGGAAGGUUUCCAUUCGCCGGAGGACAAACAGGCGUUGGUGGAUGGAGGUGAGAUUCUCCAGGCACUUGCGCCCAGAAGCCGCGAAGCUGCAUCAAGCUCUGAAGAUGAACAAAAAAAUCAUUUGUGGGAUGCUGCUGUGGCCUGCCAUGUUCGGUUUUUGGUUUUGGUUCUAGCCUUUUGGGUGCUCCUCAUGCUGGUUGUGUUGUUCUUCUUCUCUUCACCCCCACACCACCCGCUCACCUAG
rnacentral:rRNA from 1 species